GCCCUACGUUCAUGGCCUUGCAUGCAAUUUCGCCACCCAUAUGUGGCCCUCAGGCCAGAAAGUUUGCCCACCCCUGAGCUAAUCUCAUUGCAGUGCAGU